rnacentral:rRNA from 1 species
CCUAACACAUGCAAGUCGAACGGUAACAGGAAGCAGCUUGCUGCUUCGCUGACGAGUGGCGGACGGGUGAGUAAUGUCUGGGAAGCUGCCUGAUGGAGGGGGACAACUACUGGAAACGGUAGCUAAUACCGCAUAAUGUCGCAAGACCAAAGAGGGGGACCUUCGGGCCUCUUGCCAUCGGAUGUGCCCAGAUGGGAUUAGCUUGUUGGUGGGGUAACGGCUCACCAAGGCGACGAUCCCUAGCUGGUCUGAGAGGAUGACCAGCCACACUGGAACUGAGACACGGUCCAGACUCCUACGGGAGGCAGCAGUGGGGAAUAUUGCACAAUGGGCGCAAGCCUGAUGCAGCCAUGCCGCGUGUAUGAAGAAGGCCUUCG